GAUGAACGCUGGCGGCGUGCCUAAUACAUGCAAGUCGAGCGAACGGACGAGAAGCUUGCUUCGCUUAUGUUAGCGGCGGACGGGUGAGUAACACGUGGAUAACCUACCUAUAAGACUGGGAUAACUUCGGGAAACCGGAGCUAAUACCGGAUAAUAGUUUGAACCGCAUGGUUCAAAAGUGAAAGACGGUCUUGCUGUCACUUAUAGAUGGAUCCGCGCUGCAUUAGCUAGUUGGUAAGGUAACGGCUUACCAAGGCAACGAUGCAUAGCCGACCUGAGAGGGUGAUCGGCCACACUGGAACUGAGACACGGUCCAGACUCCUACGGGAGGCAGCAGUAGGGAAUCUUCCGCAAUGGGCGAAAGCCUGACGGAGCAACGCCGCGUGAGUGAUGAAGGUCUUCGGAUCGUAAAGCUCUGUUAUUAGGGAAGAACAUAUGUGUAAGUAACUGUGCACAUCUUGACGGUACCUAAUCAGAAAGCCACGGCUAACUACGUG
rnacentral:rRNA from 1 species